rnacentral:rRNA from 1 species
AGCUAGUUGGCGGGGUAACGGCCCACCAAGGCAAAGACGGGUAGGGGGUGUGAGAGCAUGGCCCCCCACAAUGGGACUGGAACACGGCCCAUACUCCUACGGGAGGCAGCAGCAGGGAAUAUUGCACAAUGGACGGAAGUCUGAUGCAGCGACGCCGCGUGGAUGAAGAAGGCCCUCGGGUUGUAAAAUCCUUUACAGGGGGAAGAGGAAGGACGGUACCCCUGGAACAAGUGUCGGCUAACUACGUGCCAGCAGCCGCGGUAAGACGUAGGACACAAGCGUUAUCCGGAUUUACUGGGCGUAAAGCGUCUGCAGGCGGACAGGUAAGUUGGGCGUGAAAGCUCCGGGCCCAACCCGGAGAGGUCGUUCAAUACUGCGUGUCUAGAGGGUGUCAGAGGGGAGUGGAAUUUCCGGAGUAGCGGUAAAAUGCGCAGAGAUCGGAAAGAACACCAAUGGCGAAGGCAGCUCCCUGGGGCAGCCCUGACGCAAAGAGACGAAAGCUAGGGGAGCGAACAGGAUUAGAGACCCUGGUAGUCCUAGCCCUAAACGAUGGAUGCUGGAUGUGGGGCCAUAGCGCUCCGUGUCGAAGCGAACGCGUUAAGCAUCCCGCCUGGGGACUACGGCCGCAAGGUUAAAACUCAAACGAAUUGACGGGACCCCGCACAAGCAGCGGAGCGUGUGGUUUAAUUCGAUGCUACACGAAGAACCUUACCUGGGUUUGACAUCUAGGUGGUAGUGAAGCGAAAGCGGAGCGACCCUUCGGGGAGCCUAGACAGGUGCUGCAUGGCUGUCGUCAGCUCGUGCCGUGAGGUGUCGGGUUAAGUCCCGUAACGAGCGCAACCCUUGCCCUCCGUUAUACGUGUCAGAGGGGACUGCCGGCGGUAAGCCGGAGGAAGGUGGGGAUGACGUCAAGUCAGCAUGGCCUUUAUAUCCAGGGCUACACACACGCUACAAUGGCCAGUACAAAGGGCAGCGAAGCCGCGAGGUGGAGCGAAUCCCAGCAAAGCUGGUCGUAGUUCGGAUUGCAGGCUGCAACCCGCCUGCAUGAAGCUGGAGUUGCUAGUAACCGCGCGUCAGCCAUCGU